rnacentral:rRNA from 1 species
UACGUAGGCAGCGAGCGUUGUUCGGAGUUACUGGGCGUAAAGGGUGUGUAGGCGGUUGUUUAAGUUUGGUGUGAAAUCUCCCGGCUCAACUGGGAGGGUGCGCCGAAUACUGAAUGACUUGGAGUGCGGGAGAGGAAAGUGGAAUUCCUGGUGUAGCGGUGAAAUGCGUAGAUAUCAGGAGGAACACCGGUGGUGUAGACGGCUUUCUGGACCGUGACUGACGCUGAGACGCGAAAGCGUGGGGAGCAAACAGG